CUUGGUCAUUUAGAGGAAGUAAAAGUCGUAACAAGGUUUCCGUAGGUGAACCUGCGGAAGGAUCAUUAUUGAAAAACUUCUCAAGUUUUUAAUGUCCUAUUGUCUACCUACCAUGUUGCUUCCACUGGACGUGUUUUACCUUGUGUAAGACCUUUGGCUUGUGUGAAUAACCCAAGUCAGGGAGUUGCCAGUGGCAAGACCAUCUACCAAAACUUGCUUAAAAUACUACUGUCUGAAUCUUUUGCUUCAAUGAAAUAAAACUUUCAACAACGGAUCUCUAGGCUCUUGCAUCGAUGAAGAACGCAGUGAAAUGCGAUAAGUAAUGUGAAUUGCAGAAUCUCGUGAAUCAUCGAAUCUUUGAACGCACAUUGCGCCCUAUGGUAUUCCGUAGGGCAUGCCUGUCUGAGCGUCAGCUCCCCCCCCACUCAAGUAUCUUUACUUUUUUGAUUCUUGGACUGAUUUGGAGAGGUGUCUUGUCAUGUAGACGCCCUCCAGAAAUUCAUAGGCAGUAUGGUUUGCACCUGAACCAGACGUAAUAAUAAUAAAAUCGUUUGUUUGGGUAUGAUUGUGCUUGCCUUAACCCACCCAUUUCUUUGUUUGGGUGACCUCAGAUCAGGUAGGGAUACCCGCUGAACUUAAGCAUAUCAAUAAGCGGAGGA
rnacentral:rRNA from 1 species